rnacentral:tRNA from 1 species
UCCUCCUUAGCUCAGUUGGUCAGAGCAUCUGACUGUUAAUCAGAGGGUCGCUGGUUCAAGUCCAGCAGGGGGAGCCA